UCCGGAGAGGGAGCCUGAGAAACGGCUACCACAUCCAAGGGAGGCAGCAGGCGCGCAAAUUACCCAAUCCUGACACAGGGAGGUAGUGACAAGAAAUAACAAUACAGGGCUACUACUAGUCUUGUAAUUGGAAUGAGUACAAUUUAAAUCCCUUAACGAGGAUCAAUUGGAGGGCAAGUCUGGUGCCAGCAGCCGCGGUAAUUCCAGCUCCAAUAGCGUAUAUUAAAGUUGUUGCAGUUAAAAAGCUCGUAGUCGGAUUCCAGGGCGGGGCGACCGGUCUGCCGAUGGGUAUGCACUGGUUGGCGCGUCCUUCCUUCUGGAGACCGUGCCUACUCUUAACUGAGCGGGGACGGGAAGCAGAUCGUUUACUUUGAAAAAAUCAGAGUGUUUAAAGCAGGCCAAGAUUGCUCUUGCAUGGAUUAGCAUGGGAUAAUGAAAUAGGACUUUGGUGCUAUUUUGUUGGUUUCGAACACCGAAGUAAUGAUUAAUAGGGAUAGUCAGGGGCACUCGUAUUCCGUCGAGAGAGGUGAAAUUCUCAGACCAAUGGAAGACGAACUACUGCGAAAGCAUUUGCCAGGGAUGUUUUCNCUGAUCAAGAACGAAAGUUAGGGGAUCGAANACGAUCAGAUACCGUCGUAGUCUUAACCAUAAACCAUGCCGACUAGGGAUUGGAGG
rnacentral:rRNA from 1 species